GUGCUCGCUUCGGCAGCACAUAUACUAAAAUUGGAGUGAUACAGAGAAGAUUAUCAUGGCGCCUGAGCAAGGAUGACAUGCAAAUUCAUGAAUCAUUCCAUAUUUUU
rnacentral:snRNA from 1 species